UUUGUGUUUCCACUCAUGGUUUUGACACAUUUUUACAUGCAUCAUCAAGACCAGAAGCGAGUUUUUUUUUCUUCUUUUUUCGCAUUCGAAUGUUGCAUUUUCAUGUCAAUGAGAAAGUGAGAGAGAUGUAAGAAAAUUUUUGGUCUAUGUAAUUCAUAUUAGUGAAUUGGUUCAUUCUUU